UACGUAGGGUGCGAGCGUUGUCCGGAAUUAUUGGGCGUAAAGAGCUUGUAGGCGGUUUGUCGCGUCUGCCGUGAAAAUUCGAGGCUCAACCUCGAACUUGCGGUGGGUACGGGCAGACUAGAGUGUGGUAGGGGAGACUGGAAUUCCUGGUGUAGCGGUGAAAUGCGUAGAUAUCUGGAGGAACACCGGUGGCGAAGGCGGCAUCCUGGACCGGUAUUGACGCUGAGGCGCGAAAGCCAGGGGAGCAAACGGG
rnacentral:rRNA from 1 species